UAUGGCCAUAUCACAUUGAAACACCAGUUCUCAUGCAAUCACUGAAGUUAAGCAAUGUCAAGCCUGGUCAGUAUCUAGAUGUGUGAUCACUUGGGAAUACCAGAGGCUGUAAG